rnacentral:rRNA from 1 species
GGACUACUAGGGUAUCUAAUCCUGUUUGAUCCCCACGCUUUCGUGCAUCAGUGUCAAUAUUCGUGUAGCCAGCUGCCUUCGCAAUUGGUGUUCUAUGUCAUAUCUAAGCAUUUCACCGCUACAUGACAUAUUCCGCUGACCUCCACGGUAUUCAAGAUUGAUAGUAUCAAUGGCAGUUUCCAAGUUAAGCCUGGAGAUUUCACCACUGACUUACCAAUCCACCUACGCACCCUUUAAACCCAGUGAAUCCGGAUAACGCUUGCACCCUCCGUAUUACCGCGGCGGCUGGCAC